AUCACCAAAGUGAUUACAUUUCAGGAGAGGAGAGGAGAACAUGAAUGUCUCGUAGCAAUCCAUCCAGUAGUUGUCGAGACAUUUCACUCAAAACCUCAUGGUGGCACUAGGAGAAAAGUCAUAAGGAAUGAUUCUCUUGGACCAUGAAUGUCUGUACAAAACUUCAUGGUUCUGCCACUGAUCCACCAGGACGUCAGAUGCUAAGCUGUUUGUAAAUCAUGAUAAUCACACUCAAGGAUUUUUCCCUCUGGCCUGUAUUGACUUAAGUUAGUCUGACAGACUUCUUACAAGAAAUGUGUACUUCUUCCCAUAAUGGAGAGGUGUUUGUCAUGGUACAGCUGUACCACUCCUAGUGUCUCUGUUGUCUGUUUGUCCCCUGUUGGUUCCCCUCCUGUUUGUCUGUGAAUGUGUGUGCUGGCGAGGAGUGGCCAUCGGUGAACCUCCAAUCAGAAUCUGACACACCUGCUACUCAUCUGCUGCUACUCACCUGUUCACCAUCCACCAAUCAAGACCAUGCAGUAAAUCUACCCGGCUCUUCGUCAGUCUUCGACUGAUUGUCCAUUUACAUUAGGGGUUCACUCCUCAAACCGACUCCUGCCUCCGAUCUACUCACCGGCUCUUCAGAAGCUUCUCACCGCAGGUUCACCUCUGCUCCACGCCAGCCAGCCGUCCUCGCCCAGUCUACCUGAGCUCGCGGACUGUCUGCCUCAGCCUGGGAACCAUCCUCGCGUCACGGAGCUUCCCUCCACACACCUCGUUACUCUUUCAACUUGUUUGUACAAUAAACCAAAGACUAACCACUUUAACUCCCUGUUUUCGAGUUGGGGUUUUGGGUCCAGACUCGGUGUACUAUAACAGUGUUGGCCGGGGAGUGCGAGGUGGUUCUGAACAUUUUCAGCAAAUAAUUUAUAAAGUUUGAAAUAUUCUGUAUCCCCUUCAAGCACAUGCAAUAAAAUGUCAACAAUU